CUAACCUGUGUUCAUGUUGCAUCUUUUACAUGUCUCUUUAAUUUCCAUGCAUGUUUUACGAAAUUCUUCUGAUAUUGUUUAAAUAAUACUAUAAUUCGAUCAGUGGGUCAACUUUUGCAAAGCCUUGCUGUUGGAAGCAACGUGGUAUCACAAAGGCCAUAUACCAAAACUUGAAGAGUACCUUGAUAAUGGAUGGAUCUCAUCUUCCGGCCCUUUACUUUCUUUACAUGUGAUUUUUGGUCUAACAAAUAAAAUAACAAAAGAAACCCUUGAUUUAUACGAAGAUUGCCGUGAAAUUAUUUACCACACUUCGGUUGUGAUUCGACUUUGCAAUGACCAGGGUACCUCAGCGGCGGAGCUAGAGAGAGGUGAUGUUGCUUCAUCAAUUUUAUGUUACAUGCAACAAGAAAAUGUUUCAGAGGAUGUAGCCCGAGAGCAUAUCGAAAGCCUAAUUUUGGAUUCGUGGAAAAAGAUCAAUUACCAUUUCAAUACUCUUUCUACAUCACAUCGAAAACUUCUCAAGCAUGUAGUAAAUGAAGCACGGAUGGCACAUGUCAUGUACCAAUUUGGAGAUGGAUUUGGGGUUCAAGAUGGUGAAACUCGAGAUCAAGUCAUGUUCAACUUGGUUCGUCCUAUUACAUAAUUUCUGUGAUAAUUUAAUUUCGGCCUAUUCACUUUCGUCCUAUUCAUAUUCAUGGUGGUCUGACAUACUUGUAAUUUGCCAGGCGAAGUAUUACAAAUAAAAAUCAAUUAACAUUUCUUGAAGAAA